AGUGAACGCUGGCGGUAUGCCUAACACAUGCAAGUCGAACGGCAGCACAGUAAGAGCUUGCUCUUACGGGUGGCGAGUGGCGGACGGGUGAGGCAUACAUCGGAAUCUACUUUUUCGUGGGGGAUAACGUAGGGCAACAUCUGCUAAUACCGGAUACGUCCUACGGGUGAAAGCAGGGGGUCUUCAGACCUUGCGCGAUUGAAUGAGCCGAUUUCGAUUUGGCUAGUUGGCGGGGUAAAGGCACACCAAGGCGACGCUCGGUAGCUGGUCUGAGAGGAUGAUCGGCCAGACUGGAACGGAGACACGGUCCAGACUCCUACGGGAGGAAGCAGUGGGGAAUAUUGGGCAAUGGGCGAAAGCCUGAUACAGCAAUACCGCGUGAGUGAAGAAGGCCUUCGGGUUGUAAAGCCCUGUUGUUGGGAAAGAAAAGAAGCAGGUUAAUACGCGGCUAUUCUGACGGUACCCAAAGAAUAAGCACCGGCUAACUUCGUG
rnacentral:rRNA from 1 species